CAGCCGCCGCGGUAAUACGGAGGGAGCUAGCGUUGUUCGGAAUUACUGGGCGUAAAGAGUACGUAGGUGGCUUAGUAUGUUGGAGGUGAAAUCCCAGGGCUUAACCCUGGAACUGCCUUCAAAACUACUGAGCUAGAAUCCUGGAGAGGUGAGUGGAAUUCCUAGUGUAGAGGUGAAAUUCGUAGAUAUUAGGAAGAACACCAGUGGCGAAGGCGGCUCACUGGACAGGUAUUGACACUGAGGUACGAAAGCGUGGGGAGCGAACGGGAUUAGAUACCCCGGUAGUCCACGCCGUAAACGAUGGGUGCUAGGUGUUGGGGUCUUUGAACUCCAGUGCCGAAGCUAACGCGUUAAGCACCCCGCCUGGGGAGUACGGUCGCAAGAUUAAAACUCAAAGGAAUUGACGGGGGCCCGCACAAGCGGUGGAGCAUGUGGUUUAAUUCGACGCAACGCGCAGAACCUUACCAGCCCUUGACAUACCAAUCGCGGUUUCUAGAGAUAGAUUCCUUCAGUUCGGCUGGAUUGGAUACAGGUGCUGCAUGGCUGUCGUCAGCUCGCGUCGUGAGAUGUUGGGUUAAGUCCCGCAACGAGCGCAACCCUCGCCUUUAGUUGCCAGCAAUUCGGUUGGGCACUCUAAAGGAACUGCCGGUGAUAAGCCGGAGGAAGGUGGGGAUGACGUCAAGUCCUCAUGGCCCUUAUGGGCUGGGCUACACACGUGCUACAAUGGCGGAUACAGUGAGUUGCUACCUUGCGAGAGGGAGCUAAUCUCCAAAAUCCGUCUCAGUUCGGAUUGUUCUCUGCAACUCGAGAGCAUGAAGUUGGAAUCGCUAGUAAUCGUGGAUCAGCAUGCCACGGUGAAUACGUUCCCGGGCCUUGUACACACCGCCCGUCACACCAUGGGAGUUGGUUUUACCCGACGCUGGUGAGCUAACCUUUUAUUAGGAGGCAGCCAACCACGGUAGAGUCAGCGACUGGGGUGAAGUCGUAACAAGGUAGCCGUA
rnacentral:rRNA from 1 species